GUAAUGCCAUGUUCACCACCUGCCGGUGCCCCACCUUCACCACGUUCUGACCAUUCACCUGCACAGGUGAGCAGUGACAUCACACAGACAGGUAAUGCCAUGUUCACCACCUGCCGGUGCCCCACCUUCACCACGUUCUGACCAUUCACCUGUACAGGUGAGCAGUGACAUCACACAGACAGGUAAUGCCAUGUUCACCACCUGCCGGUGCCCCAC